UGUAGCGAUACAGAGUUCUGCUAGUGGCAGACGGGUGAGUAGUACAUGGGAAUCUACCUUGCAGUGCGAAAUAACAGUUGGAAGCAAUUGCUAAUGUCGCAUACAGCCGAGAGGUGAAAGAUUUAUCGCUGCAAGACGAGCCCAUGCAGGAUUAGCUAGUUGGUGAGGUAAUGGCUCACCAAGGCAACGAUCUUUAGUUGGUCUGAGAGGAUGAUCAGCCACACUGGAACUGAGACACGGUCCAGACUCCUACGGGAGGCAGCAGUGGGGAAUAUUGGACAAUGGGCGCAAGCCUGAUCCAGCGACGCCGCGUGAGUGAAGAAGGCCUUCGGGUUGUAAAGCUCUUUUAGUGGGGAAGAUAAUGACGGUACCCACAGAAAAAGCCCCGGCUAACUU
rnacentral:rRNA from 1 species